AGAGAGAGCGAGAGACGAUAGAUAAAGGGAGAGGGAGAGAUCGACCGGGAGGAGGGGAGAUGAGAUCGAGCGAUCUGUCCAUCUACAGACCAGACAGAUCGAGCGAGAGGGAGAGGGAGAGGGAGAGAGAGAGAGAGAGAGAGUGAGAUCGAGAGAGAGGGAGACAGAGAGGGAGCGAAAGGGAGAGAGAGGGGGACGAACCUGAUCGACUAUCGUCGAGCUGCUGUUCGCGAACCUGAUCGACGAACCUGAGCGAGAGAGAGACGACGACAAACUCCUCUCCUCCUUUGCCGCUGCUGUUCGACCUAGAUUUGCCCCUGCCACUUUUGGGAGGUGGGAAAUUCUUUUGUUGUCUCAUUGGACCUAUUUGCGCCUUUGAAAGCUUGGUACUAUGCUGGCUGAGUGCAAAGCUGAUCGCUACUGCCAUAUAGCAUUCUUAGAAGGUAUUAUC